rnacentral:lncRNA from 1 species
AUGUAAAAAGAGCUUUAUAAAUAAAUUGUACUGAUUGAUUGAUGAUUGAUUGUAUGAAAUGGAGUAGCAUAUAUCCAUCAUGUAAAAUGAACAUUGAGCACUGUCUCCAUGGAGUAUAGCACUGCAGCCUUAGGCAAUGUAUAUUUACGUGGUGCAUAACAUUAUCUCAUAUCACAUGUAUGGCAAGACAUGAUUGAUGUAAUUAGAUGCUCUGGAGAGAUCCCACCCUCCUUCCCCAACACAUGUAGAAUGCUUAGAAACCACCAGAAACCUGUGAAAUAGAUCAACAGAUGAUGUUUUAUCUCCUCUCAAGGUCUGUUGAUUUACAGUAUCUCAGAAUCAGGAACUGUCAUAUCCCAUGUGAUAUGUCAAAACAAGUUGAUACAUGGUGCAUUGGGUUUGUAUUUAUUGUGGAUCCCCUUUAGCUGCAGCAGUUACUCUUCAUGGGGUCCAGUAAAAUGAAGGCAGUUAUAUAAUUGUAAAAACAUUCCCGAUACAUUCACAACAGAUUUCACAAAAUCCAUGUUCCUUUUUGAUUUCGGGGCAGGCUGUCAACAGCACGUACUGUGACACUAUGAUAAGUCAACAAUACCUCUAGGCAUAUCUGACGUCAUGUAUUUGAUAUCUUUAUGUGAAGGUUCAUGUCCAUAUUGACAUCAGUUCAUUGUGUUUGAGGACGGUUCACUGACCAGUUUCCAACGGAUACGAUUAGACUAGUUUAACAGUUACAGAACAGCUACAGUAGCCUAUCAGAACAGCUACAGUAGCCUAUCAGAACAGCUGCAUUAUCAGAGGCGCAGAGCCUUAAUUAACGGGCUACACAUAAUGGCUGACGACAGCCAGAGCGUGAAAUGGGAGGAUCCCCCGGAUGACCAAAAUAAAGUCGUGGAGAACAUGAAGGAAACAGAGACACAUGAGACCAACAAGAACAGGACAGGAGGCAAGGUAAGAAAUAUGCUGUCCUUUACACAUGCUCUGCCUACUUAGGCACAGAUCUAGGAUUAGUUUACUAUCACUAAAUCCUAGCCUUAAAGCAUUAGGAGGAGACGCUACACUGACCUUAGAUCUGCUAUUAGACCUAUAAUCUGUUGUCAUGUAGGCUAAACGUAAGUCCAGUGGCGGUGCCAAGAAGACUUCCGUGGAGGAGGACAGCAGCAUUGGUGCAGGUCCGAGAUUACUUCAUGUUGGGUGCAGGUUGUGUUCAAAUUCAUCAGCACCGAUCUGAGUAGAUAGUAUCUAUAUAGGUGAAAGCAAUAUAGUGGAGGCCCGCAGAGAGAUGUGCUUUUACCUGUCCAGUGCAAUCAAAUCCCUAAAGGUGAAGGAAAUUAGGGAUCAAGUUCAGAUUCAACUUUAGAUUUCUCUUUGCGGUUUCCCAGAGUCUUCUCAGACACCCGGGUGUGGUUUCCGGGAAAGGGGAUCUAUCAUUGAGCAGCUGGAGAAGGAGGCUCAGAGGACUCUAAUGCCUUCUCUCAAGAUUGGGACAUGCUGUGCCCCAAUCCUCCUCUCCUUCCUGAGGAGU